AACCUGCCUGUAAGACUGGGAUAACUCCGGGAAACCGGGGCUAAUACCGGAUGGUUGUUUGAACCGCAUGGUUCAAACAUAAAAGGUGGCUUCGGCUACCACUUACAGAUGGACCCGCGGCGCAUUAGCUAGUUGGUGAGGUAACGGCUCACCAAGGCAACGAUGCGUAGCCGACCUGAGAGGGUGAUCGGCCACACUGGGACUGAGACACGGCCCAGACUCCUACGGGAGGCAGCAGUAGGGAAUCUUCCGCAAUGGACGAAAGUCUGACGGAGCAACGCCGCGUGAGUGAUGAAGGUUUUCGGAUCGUAAAGCUCUGUUGUUAGGGAAGAACAAGUACCGUUCGAAUAGGGCGGUACCUUGACGGUACCUAACCAGAAAGCCACGGCUAACUACGUGCCAGCAGCCGCGGUAAUACGUAGGUGGCAAGCGUUGUCCGGAAUUAUUGGGCGUAAAGGGCUCGCAGGCGGUUUCUUAAGUCUGAUGUGAAAGCCCCCGGCUCAACCGGGGAGGGUCAUUGGAAACUGGGGAACUUGAGUGCAGAAGAGGAGAGUGGAAUUCCACGUGUAGCGGUGAAAUGCGUAGAGAUGUGGAGGAACACCAGUGGCGAAGGCGACUCUCUGGUCUGUAACUGACGCUGAGGAGCGAAAGCGUGGGGAGCGAACAGGAUUAGAUACCCUGGUAGUCCACGCCGUAAACGAUGAGUGCUAAGUGUUAGGGGGUUUCCGCCCCUUAGUGCUGCAGCUAACGCAUUAAGCACUCCGCCUGGGGGAGUACGGGUCGCAAGACUGAAACUCAAAGG
rnacentral:rRNA from 1 species